rnacentral:rRNA from 1 species
AACGAACGCUGGCGGCAUGCCUAACACAUGCCAGUCGAACGAGACCUUCGGGUCUAGUGGCGCCCGGGUUUGUAACGCGUGGGAAUCUUCCCUUGGGUUCGGCAUAACAGUUGGAAACGACUGCUAAUACCGGAUGAUGACUUAAAUCCAAAGAUUUAUCGACCAGGGAUGAGCCCGCGUAGGAUUCGCUAGUUGUUGGGGUAAAGGCAUACGAAGGCGAGGAUCCUUAGCUGGUCAGAGAGGAAGAUCAGCGACACUGGGAGUGAGAAGCGGCCGAGAAUCCUACGGGAGGCAGGAAUGGGGAAUGGUGGAAAGUGGGGGGAGGGAUGAACGAGCAAUGACGGGAGAAUGAUGAAGGCAGGAAGGUAGUAAAACGCAUGUAACCGGGAUGAUAAUGACAGUACCGGGAGAAUAAGCCACGGCUAACUCCGUG